rnacentral:lncRNA from 1 species
GGAUGAUUACACCCAAUGGCUCUAGGACCUGGGUUAUAAAUUGCUGUGUCCUCACUGCAGCUCGGUUUGGAGCAACUCUGAAAGGUGUCCCUCUUCAGAGCUCCCUGUCAGCCUGCUGAAGCUCCUCAGUGCCACAUCACAGACAACUUUCACCUCCGCCUUGCCCCUGCCCUCUCCUACUGCCUUCGCUCUCUCCUCCCCUCCCACGCUGAACCCGGAUGCUCCUUAACAAGCCAUCAGUUGCCUUCUGAGACUGCUUUGCUGGGAAACUUCAGCAAUGAAAGUGACCCACACCACCAAGAAACUUUGUCACUUGUUGCUUUGCCAUGUUCUCCUGUAUGGGAAUUCUUGACAAAGCAUUCCAUACCACAAGUAAAUAAGUAAAAGUUCAAUCACCUGUGCCACCUGGGAAAUGUUAAGAGAAAUGAAUCCUCACUUUGGCCCGCAAGAUGUCUCCUGACUUUAUAAGAUCAAGACAGAAACAUCAUUGAGAGACAAAAUUCACAGUAAGUAUAAACCCAUAAAAGAAUACUUUAUGAACCAGAGUUUAGUGGCUGGUCCUCAAAUUAGGAGUACUAACAAUUAUUUUUUCAAUAUUUCCAAAGCUUAGCGAGCUAUUACAUAU